UAGCAGAGAUCUUGUGUAGAUUUUUGAAAGGUAACGUUUCUUCAGCCCAAGUACAGCCAUUGUCCUUGCUCCAACAUGCAGCUUGGAAGUGGGACCUGUACUGCAUUCCAGCCACCCUUGCCCUUCAGGAAAGAAUACACAACCUGAACAACCAUAGGCAGGGCCCUGAUCUUCUACCCCCAGCCCAGAUUAACGGAAGACUAGACUUUGGAGAGGAAGGCCUCGUGAAGAAAGGACUGGAUCAUCUUUCCCCAGCCUCAACAGGAAGGAACAUCCCCAAGUGCAAAGUCAUGUCUGCUACUUGCCCAACAUGCAAGUCUCACGGUGCCUUAAAUGUUAGCAAGUUUCCUCACACCCAGAAAUUCCCCACCAGGGGACACUUGCUUUUCUCCAAGCUAAGAAUCACUCACUGUGAUAAAUGUUGAAUAGAUCAUCCCAGAAUUCAAACCACGAAAAAACGUGUCAAGAGUGAGGGUCACCUCAUCCACCUUCUCUCCUCUAAAAUAACCACUACAUGGUAUGUAUCCUUCUUGACCUUUUCCUACAUACAUAUGUAUAUCAUUUUUUGUUUUUCUCAUUAAUUUGCUUUGGCACUCCAUAUACCCCAGAUACCAUUCCACGAAGUAUAUACAGUUCAACCACAUUUUUUUUUUUUUGAGAAAGAGUACAAGCAGAGCAGAGGGGCAAAGGGAGAGAGAGAAAGAGACACAUAGAGAGAGAGAGAAUCUCAAGCAGGCCCCAUGCCCAGGGCAAAGCCUGAGGUGGGGCUCGAUCUCACAACCAUGAGAUCAUGACCUGAGCAGAAAUCAAAACUCAGACACUUAACUAACUGAGCCACCAGGAAUCCCACAACCACAUUUUUUUUAAAUGUUUGUUUGUUUGCUUGCUUAUUUAUUUAUUUAGAGAGAGUGAGCACAAGUGGGGGAGAGGCAGAGAGAGAGGGAGACAGAGAAAAUCCCAGUCAGGCUCCACGCACAGCACAGAGUCCAACCUGGGGCUCGGUCUCACAAUUGUGAGAUCAUGACCUAAGCCCAAGUCAAGAGUAGGACCCUUAACCCACUGAGCCACACAGGCACCUCUCCCUCACAACCUCAUUUUUAGAUGGC
rnacentral:lncRNA from 1 species